AGCAGCCAUGAAGUGUCCUCAAGAGUGUGC
rnacentral:piRNA from 1 species